rnacentral:rRNA from 1 species
CGCGUAGGUGGUUCGUUAAGUUGGAUGUGAAAGCCCCGGGCUCAACCUGGGAACUGCAUCCAAAACUGGCGAGCUAGAGUACGGUAGAGGGUGGUGGAAUUUCCUGUGUAGCGGUGAAAUGCGUAGAUAUAGGAAGGAACACCAGUGGCGAAGGCGACCACCUGGACUGAUACUGACACUGAGGUGCGAAAGCGUGGGGAGCAAACA